rnacentral:rRNA from 1 species
AUUGAACGCUGGCGGCAGGCUUAACACAUGCAAGUCGAACGAUGAUUAUCUAGCUUGCUAGAUAUGAUUAGUGGCGGACGGGUGAGUAACAUUUAGGAAUCUGCCUAGUAGUGGGGGAUAGCUCGGGGAAACUCGAAUUAAUACCGCAUACGACCUACGGGUGAAAGGGGGCGCAAGCUCUUGCUAUUAGAUGAGCCUAAAUCAGAUUAGCUAGUUGGUGGGGUAAAGGCCCACCAAGGCGACGAUCUGUAACUGGUCUGAGAGGAUGAUCAGUCACACCGGAACUGAGACACGGUCCGGACUCCUACGGGAGGCAGCAGUGGGGAAUAUUGGACAAUGGGGGCAACCCUGAUCCAGCCAUGCCGCGUGUGUGAAGAAGGCCUUUUGGUUGUAAAGCACUUUAAGCAGGGAGGAGAGGCUAAUGGUUAAUACCCAUUAGAUUAGACGUUACCUGCAGAAUAGGCACCGGCUAACUCUGUGCCUGCAGCCGCGGUAAUACAGAGGGUGCGAGCGUUAAUCGGAAUUACUGGGCGUAAAGCGAGUGUAGGUGGCUCAUUAAGUCACAUGUGAAAUCCCCGGGCUUAACCUGGGAACUGCAUGUGAUACUGGUGGUGCUGGAAUAUGUGAGAGGGAAGUAGAAUUCCAGGUGUAGCGGUGAAAUGCGUAGAGAUCUGGAGGAAUACCGAUGGCGAAGGCAGCUUCCUGGCAUAAUAUUGACACUGAGAUUCGAAAGCGUGGGUAGCAAACAGGAUUAGAUACCCUGGUAGUCCACGCCGUAAACGAUGUCUACUAGCCGUUGGGGUCCUUGAGACUUUAGUGGCGCAGUUAACGCGAUAAGUAGACCGCCUGGGGAGUACGGCCGCAAGGUUAAAACUCAAAUGAAUUGACGGGGGCCCGCACAAGCGGUGGAGCAUGUGGUUUAAUUCGAUGCAACGCGAAGAACCUUACCUGGUCUUGACAUAGUGAGAAUCCUGCAGAGAUGCGGGAGUGCCUUCGGGAAUUCACAUACAGGUGCUGCAUGGCUGUCGUCAGCUCGUGUCGUGAGAUGUUGGGUUAAGUCCCGCAACGAGCGCAACCCUUUUCCUUAUUUGCCAGCGGGUUAAGCCGGGAACUUUAAGGAUACUGCCAGUGACAAACUGGAGGAAGGCGGGGACGACGUCAAGUCAUCAUGGCCCUUACGACCAGGGCUACACACGUGCUACAAUGGUAGGUACAGAGGGUUGCUACACAGCGAUGUGAUGCUAAUCUCAAAAAGCCUAUCGUAGUCCGGAUUGGAGUCUGCAACUCGACUCCAUGAAGUCGGAAUCGCUAGUAAUCGCAGAUCAGAAUGCUGCGGAGAAUACGUUCCCGGGCCU